UUGCAGAAACAACUCUAGGGAAUUAACACCACUACGACUAAUAAUCUCACACUCUACAAAUAACAAUAAAAAUGGCUCAUACCAUAUUUGCAUUUAGCAGUCAAUUCACCACAUAACCAAUGCACAGGACUCAACUUAAAGGUUCCCACAUAACCAAUGCACAGGACUCAACUUAAAGGUCAUAGGUAGAACGAGAAUGAUCUGUAGCAGAUUGUGCACCAGAUCCGAGAUUUGAGUUUUGUGAUGUGAACAAAUUUGGGUAUGUGAAGUAUGGCUCAUCGUCCAUUGAAGGCAAUCUCUGUGGCUGGUGACUAACAGGCCCU
rnacentral:lncRNA from 1 species